GGAGAUGUAGCUCAGUGGCUAGAGUGUUUGUCUGGCAUACAUAAAGUCCUGGGUUUGAUCCCCAGCCCU
rnacentral:tRNA from 1 species